rnacentral:miRNA from 14 species
CCCGGGAGCGGGGGACCACCAGGUUGCCUAAGGAGGGGUGAACCGGCCCAGGUCGGAAAAAGGACUAGGACUGUCAUGUCUCUAGACUAUG